GCCUCCGUAGCUCAGGGGAUAGAGCACCGCUCUCCUAAAGCGGGUGUCGGCAGUUCGAAUCUGCCCGGGGGCACAA
rnacentral:tRNA from 1 species